GCAGGCUUAACACAUGCAAGUCGAGCGGGGGAAGGUAGCUUGCUACUGGACCUACCGGCGGACGGGUGAGUAAUGCUUACGAAUCUGCCUAUUACUGGGGGACAACAUCUCGAAAGGGAUGCUAAUACCGCAUACGUCCUACGGGAGAAAGCAGGGGAUCUUCGGACCUUGCGCUAAUAGAUGAGCCUAAUUCGGAUUAGCUAGUUGGUGGGGUAAAGGCCUACCAAGGCAACGAUCUGUAGCGGGUCUGAGAGGAUGAUCCGCCACACUGGGACUGAGACACGGCCCAAACUCCUACGGGAGGCAGCAGUGGGGAAUAUUGGACAAUGGGCGCAAGCUUGAUCCAGCCAUGCCGCGUGUGUGAAGAAGGCCUUAUGGUUGUAAAGCACUUUAAGCGAGGAGGAGGCUACUUUAGAUAAUACCUAUAGAUAGUGGACGUUACUCGCAGAA
rnacentral:rRNA from 1 species